GAAUGAACGCUGGCGGCAUGCCUAACCCAUGCAAGUCGAACGAAGGCUUCGGCCUUCGUGGCGCACGGGUGCGUAACGCGUGGGAAUCUGCCCCUUGGUUCGGAAUAACAGUUAGAAAUGACUGCUAAUACCGGAUGAUGACGUAAGUCCAAAGAUUUAUCGCCGAGGGAUGAGCCCGCGUAGGAUUAGCUAGUUGGUGUGGUAAGAGCGCACCAAGGCGACGAUCCUUAGCUGGUCUGAGAGGAUGAUCAGCCACACUGGGACUGAGACACGGCUCAGACUCCUACGGGAGGCAGCAGUGGGGAAUAUUGGACAAUGGGCGAAAGCCUGAUCCAGCAAUGCCGCGUGAGUGAUGAAGGCCUUAGGGUUGUAAAGCUCUUUUACCCGGGAUGAUAAUGACAGUACCGGGAGAAUAAGCUCCGGCUAACUCCGUG
rnacentral:rRNA from 1 species